CCCGCCGGCGACCGGCGCACGGGUGAGUAACACGUAUGCAACCUGGCCGCCACAGGGGGAUAACCCGCGGAAACGCGGCCUAAUACCCCGUGACGCCACCGGAGGGCAUCCUCCGGUGGCCAAAGGAGCGAUCCGGUGGCGGAUGGGCAUGUGGCGCAUUAGCUAGACGGCGGGGUGACGGCCCACCGUGGCGACGAUGCGUAGGGGUUCUGAGAGGAAGGCCCCCCACACUGGGACUGAGACACGGCCCAGACUCCUACGGAAGGCAGCAG
rnacentral:rRNA from 1 species